rnacentral:misc_RNA from 1 species
AAAUGCGAUAAGUAGUGUGAAUUGCAGAAUUCAGUGAAUCAUCGAAUCUUUGAACGCACAUUGCGCCCUUUGGUAUUCCUUAGGGCAUGCCUGUUCGAGCGUCAUCUAAACCUUCAAGCCCUGCUUGGUGUUGGGUGCCUGUCCCGCCUCCGCGCGCGGACUCACCUCAAAUCCAUUGGCGGCCCCCGCGUCGGCCACGAGCGCAGCAGAAACGCGAACUCGUGAGCCCGUCCGGGCGGCUCCCAGAAGCUACACCCACCCAGUUUGACCUCGGAUCAGGUAGGGAUACCCGCUGAACUUGAGC